rnacentral:lncRNA from 1 species
GAAAGAAAAUAAUAUUACUAGUUUGCUAAGAAAUCAUAUUUUUUUAAAACAUAUUCAGUUUUAAAGAAAGAAAUCAAAAUUAUACGGAAUCGAAAUGACAAUAAUUCUUUAAUAUAUAUAUGGUUUCUUUUAAUAGGAAAUAUUUUAUCACAUUUACACGGAAAUCACGACACAAUAAUAAAACGAUAUAUACAGAAAUCACAACACAAUUAUAAACGAUUUGAAUAGUUUAAUUGACUCUCUCAAACUUACAUACACAUAAAUAUAUAUACAUAACCAUGAUCUAGCUCUUUUGCUGUCUUCACACCAUAAAAAUAUAUACAAAGAAAAUGGCAUUACUAUCGUCAAAGCUUGGAUUAAUAGUGAUUUUCGUCCUAUGUUCUUGUCUCCUAGUUACUUCUCAAUCAAAAGGUAACUAUAUAAUGUAUAUAUGUAUCUCUAAGAUCACAAUCUAAUAGCAAACAAUUUAUAUUGUCUAACCUUGGUUUAACCGUACGUGUGGUACGUACGGUAACUAAUGAUAGAUGUAAGAGGUGAGAAGGAUGUUCAUCCUCCAAGUUCGUGCGUGUUCAGAGGUCCAUGUAGAAGCGAUACAGAUUGUAAGAGUCAAUGCGGACCACCGGACUUCCCACCGUCGACACUUGGCUCAUGCUUACCCAGUCCUAGAGGUCAUGGCAACAUUUGCUGUUGUACCAAAGAUUAUUAGUUCUCCCAUACUUUAAACUAUAAACAAAACCAAAUGUUACUUUAUAUCAUCGACUUCAAAUGAAUAUUGAUUUACUAGCUGUUUUUGGAUGAAAACAAAAGAAUCUUAAACGUACGUUGAACCUCUUCCAAACUCACUCUGGAGCUCUUGUAAGCUAUUGCUUGAAAUCAAGCGAUGAUAUUUAAUUUGGUCUCACUCCAACUUUUCUAAUUGUCUCUAAUUAUUACAAUAUAUGAUUUUUAGUCACGUUCUUCAUUUCAUUUUAGUAAUAUAAAUAAAAAGUAGCAAGUAAA